AUUAAUCUGCGGCGAAACUCGUUAAACAGGAUUGAGUCCUUUAAACGAGCAAAUGUUUCUCCCAGAACAGGGUUGAAGGAGUGUUAAAGCUCAGAUCCUUCUCGCCCCUUGACGCCCCUUCAGCACCCAGCCCUGCCAGGGGUUUGUCUCCUCUUCCAGCUGGGAUUUGCCUCCCCACUCACAAGGAGCCCUCUGGGAGUUUUCCUGUGAAUGGAAAGCAGUGAGUGCAGGCAUUGGGAAAAGCAACAAAGCAGAAAAAAAGGUAUUUUCUGGUUGUUUUUCCAGCUGGUUGCACACAGACCUGUGGAGAGCGCUGAUCCAGGAGGGUUCAGCCCGGAGGCUGAAGUCCCACAGCCUCCCUCUACUCUGAAAUGGGAAAUGCUGCAUCUGGAUCCCCUUGGAAAAGCUGUACAUAGGCCCAGUCUUUGUAAGUAAAUCAGCAUGUGCACAUUUUACAUAGGCUGGGUGGAAAAGCAGAAAACUACC
rnacentral:lncRNA from 12 species